GCUCCGUACAGGGAAGCCUGGGAAACAGGAGCAACCAACCAACAGACAGACAAGUGCAUACAGUGCAGAAGCUUACUGCAGGGAGAGAACAUUGACCCUAAUGAGGAUCUAUGGAAGCCUGCUUGAUCCAAGAUGAAAGGUGGAGAGACAGUUUGGACAGUAAUCAAAACGCAUAUGGCCCCUUUGAAACACUUGGACUACGAUGUGAAGUUAACCCAUCCUUAGCAUGACAGAAUCCAGAGCCACCAAAUGUUGUAUCACAGUUAGAGGUUGGAAACACAUCCAUAUAAUGAAAGGCGUGUGUGAAAACGGGGACAGAGGGAGAUCAUCCGCUCUGGAGGGAAAUUUCCUCUCUUAGGACUGUGUCCUCGUUAUACUUUCCCAUCCCAAAGCAAGGUCACAGCGUCUCCC
rnacentral:lncRNA from 1 species